rnacentral:rRNA from 1 species
AACGAACGCUGGCGGCAUGCCUAACACAUGCAAGUCGAACGAGACCUUCGGGUCUAGUGGCGCACGGGUGCGUAACGCGUGGGAACCUGCCCUUAGGUUCGGAAUAACUCCCCGAAAGGGGUGCUAAUACCGGAUAAUGUCUUCGGACCAAAGAUUUAUCGCCUUUGGAUGGGCCCGCGUUGGAUUAGCUAGUUGGUAGGGUAAAAGCCUACCACGGCGACGAUCCAUAGCUGGUCUGAGAGGAUGAUCAGCCACACUGGGACUGAGACACGGCCCAGACUCCUACGGGAGGCAGCAGUGGGGAAUAUUGGACAAUGGGCGAAAGCCUGAUCCAGCAAUGCCGCGUGAGUGAUGAAGGCCUUAGGGUUGUAAAGCUCUUUUACCCGGGAUGAUAAUGACAGUACCGGGAGAAUAAGCGCCGGCUAACUCCGUG